rnacentral:rRNA from 1 species
GGGGGGGGGGGGGGGGGGGGUGGGGGCGUGGGGGGCGGGCGGGGGGGGGCUGCUUGGGUGGGGGGCUCGGGUGGCGAACGGGUGAGUAACACGUGAGUAACCUGCCCUUGGCUUUGGGGUAACUUCAGGAAACUGGGGCGAAUACCGGAUAGGAGCUCCUGCUGCAUGGUGGGGGUUGGAAAGUUUCGGCGGUUGGGGAUGGACUCGCGGCUUAUCAGCUUGUUGGUGGGGUAGUGGCUUACCAAGGCUUUGACGGGUAGCCGGCCUGAGAGGGUGACCGGCCACAUUGGGACUGAGAUACGGCCCAGACUCCUACGGGAGGCAGCAGUGGGGAAUAUUGCACAAUGGGCGGAAGCCUGAUGCAGCAACGCCGCGUGCGGGAUGACGGCCUUCGGGUUGUAAACCGCUUUCGCCUGUGACGAAGCGUGAGUGACGGUAAUGGGUAAAGAAGCACCGGCUAACUACGUG